AGUGUCUGGGUCAUUUCCACAUGCUUUAUUCCAGCAAUCAAAAUAAUUAAAAACAUCUCAAAUUAUUAUUAUACACAUACAAAAUAGGUACAGAGUCUCUUGCUUCCUCCCACCCUGGGGCAAAAACUGCUUUGUGCUUUGGGAAGCUGUUAUCUGAAAACCACGGAGUACAGAGGUGCAGGAGGGAGGGCUUCAGAGGAGAAGUCAGAGAGGCAGGGUGGGGAGAGGGAGGAGAGGGGCAGGCUGGAGCCAGCCCUUUCCCCCACAUUAAAUAGCACCGUUAGAAAAAAAAUUCACGAGUCCCCAUCUGCAAGGAAGACCGAAAAGAAGGAAAGAAAGAGCUGAAGAGCAGAAGACUUUGAACAAAAAGGAACAUUUGUUGGCCUGGGGGCACCCCAACUUUUUUAGCACCAGAAAUUCCUCCUCCACCCCCCCCACAUUGAUGUAGCACCUUUGGUAUCAAAUGGGGUGGUCGCUGCCCCCGCCCUCACAGUCGCUGGUGACACACAAGACAAGAACGAGGUAGUCAGUCUUUAGCAACACAGUUACACAAGGAACAGAACAUCUCUCCCACCCAGCCGGGCGCACAAGGGGCUCCAGGCGCCUCCCCAAGUCCGACGUCUCUGCUCUGCGGUGCCGUGGCCCUGCCCCUCUCUCGAGACCCCCGGGAAGGGCCCUCUCAAAAACAAAGUGGGGUGUGUUGCAGAGGCCUUGGGGAUGCCAGAUGGGUGGGCUCCUUUGGCAGUCUGGGAACCCCGGAUCUCCCCAGCACUGGGUGUAUCAGGCAGCCGGAGUGGGCUGGGAGUUGGAGGCCACUUAGAUGUUUCAGCAUUGCCUUUGGUUGCUGAGCAGACAAUGCACUGUUUCUUGUGCCUUUGCGGGCGACUUGGAUUUGGGGAACAGUGGAAGAGAGGCCCCAAGAAGGGGUGGAAAAAAGAGCAGAAAGGGCAGCAUUGGGGUAUCAUAAGCCCAACGGGCAGAAAAAGACUUACCCCCACAGGGUCUUCAAGCAAGUGGACCAAGCUUCCUUUUUUAAAAACUUAUUUAUUUAUUCUUUUUUUUUUUUCCCGUAAGGUUCAAUGCAUUUUUGGUUUUUGGUCAUGUUCAGUUGGUCAAAGAAAAAAAAACUAAGUUCGAGAGAUGAAUGUAAAGGAAAAAAAAAAUGUUUUCCAAAGUCCAUGUGAAAUUGUCUCCCAUUUUUUUGGCUUUUGGGGGAUUCAGUUUGGGUUGUUUUUCUGUUUCCGGGAAGGGGAGUGGGCUGGGUGGGAGGGAGCCAGGGUGGAGUGGAGGGGGUUUACACGAAGCAGACAGGGCUAACGUCAAAGCCGAAUUCCUGGUCUGGGGAGCCAAUGUCCAAGGGGGCCACGUCGAUGAUGGGGAGGCGGGAGGUCUUGGUGGUUCUGUAUUCGAUGACUGUCUUGCCCCAGGCUCCUGUGUGACUCUGGGGUAAGGGAGGCAAGGGACGGGUCAUUACCAAGGGCAGAGAUGGAGCCAGCAAGCCGGGUCACCCUGAGAGCCAAAACCUAGAGCCAAGGGUCCCGGGGACUCACCGUGCAGCCGUCCUCCAGGGCCACGUAAGUGAAGCGGCUGUUGCCCUCGCCCCGGAGCUCGAUGUCAUUGGAGCCCUGGAGGAGCAGAGACUUCUUGAGGUUUCCGGUCUGCUGAUCCAGGUAGGCCACGCUGUUCUUGCAGUGGUAGGUGAUGUUCUGGGAGGCCUCGGUGGACAUCAGGCGCAGGAAGGUCAGCUGGAUGGCCACGUCAGCAGGUUCGGAGUCUGGGCUGCCAUACUUGAACUGCAGGGGAGGUGACAGAGCCGGGGUGAGUGAAACUUCGGGGCCUCUGCCCUGGCCUCCGUCCUCAAGUCCGCUGACAGCACUGUGCCCGGCUAACUCAGCUCAAGAGAGCUCUCGCUGCCCAUGGGCACCUGCGUCUGAGCCGGCAGCAAGGACCCAGGCUCCCUCCCCAGCCUGGCUCUGUCCCUCCUGGGCACUGGGCUAGCAUCUCCCAAACAUGGGCCUAGGGUCCAGCUCAUGCACCUGGAAUCCACCGUCCAUGCUCUCGCCGAACCAGACGUGGUUCCUCUCCUUGAGGUUCUUGCUGAUGUACCAGGCCUUCAGAGCCACGGUGGGCUGAACUGGGUACACGCAGCUCUCUCCCCGUCUCCAUGUUGCAGAACACCUUGAUGGCGUCCAGGUUGCAGCCUUGGUUGGGGCUCGAUCCAGUACUCUCCUGUGGCGGGGCAGGACGAGGGGAGUCAGGGGAGCAGGAGAGGUAGCCCCUGAGAGCGCAGGGAGGCCGGCACGGCAGGAGGAGGAGGAGGAAGGGGCAGCCAGGGCAGGCCCUCACCGCCUCUUCCAGUCGGGGUGGCACAUCUUGAGGUCACGGCAGGUGCGGGCGGGGUUCUUGCGGGUGCCUUCAGGGCUGCGGAUGUUCUCGAUCUGCUGGCUCAGGGUCUUGAGUGUGGUGUCCACCUCGAGGUCACGGUCACGGACCACGUUGGCGUCAUCAGCCCGGUAGUAGCGGCCAUCGCCAGCCUUCUCCUGAGAUGGCUGGGGCAGGAAGCUUAAGUCGUAACCGCCGCUGGGGAGGACCAGGGGGACCAGGGGGGUCCAGGAGGGCCGGCGGGACCCUGUGCAGAAAGGGAGGAGAUCGGGGGUUACCAGUGUCCGAGCGAGGCCUCUUGGGGCUGGAGGGACAUGAGGCGAAGGGGUGGGGCUACGACAACAGGACCAGCAUCACCAGUGCGACCCCGAGGACCAGGGGGGACCGAUGGGGCCAGGCAGGCCAUUGAGCCCCAUCCUUGCCGGGAGAACCAGCAGACCCGGGAGGACCCUGGAGGAGAGACGGAGGGAGAAAUCCUCCUGGAAACGCAUCCCAAUUCCAACGGAGACACCCAUCGCCUUGCCUGCCGGACCAGGCACUGGACAAGACUGUCCAGGAGCCUUCUCUUCCUGGGUCCUCGGGGAAGGUCCCCAAGGCAAGCCUGGCCGGGGACCUGGGAAGACCCAACUUACUCGGGGACCAGCAGGACCAGAAGCUCCAGAAGGACCUUGUUCACCAGGAGAGCCCUGACGCACAGAGACAAAGACAGUUCAGGCCCAGUGCGGGUCCAGUGCAGGCUUGGGACAGGGCAGGGGACCCAGAGGGCAGGGUGGGCAGCCCACCCCUCUCCCUACUGGGGAAAUCUUGCCCCAGCCUCCUCAUAGGCUGAGCCUCUCUUCCAAUCCUCUCUCAGAAGCUACUCGGAAAUGGCCAUAAACCUUUAGUCCCCAGUCCCCAUGACGGAGGAUCCAGAGUGGCUCUUCAGAGGGGAAACUGAGGCAGGUGUCUACUGUCCACCGCCCCCGCCCCCACCGUCACCCAGCACAGCAUGGGGAGAUGACAAAGAAGGUGCAGUGGCAGAGGACCUGAGAGCCCGAGCAUACUCACAGGAGGACCGGGGGACCCUGGAGACCAGAGAAGCCGCGUGUGACCCUUGAUGCCUCUGUCACCCUGUUCGCCUGUCUCACCCUUGUCACCACGGGGGCCUUGGGGUCCCUGGAAGAGAGUGGGGACAGGCUGUCAGGUGGAAGCCCCUUUGGGACUGAGUGGGAGUGUGAUCCACACCGGGUGAGGGUUUUGAGGUCAGGGGUUGGUGUGGGCCACUUACAGCAGGGCCACGGGCACCAGCAGGGCCGAUGGGACCAGCAGGACCAGCAGGACCCUGGGGAGAGCAGAGAGAGUAGUUGACCCUGGCCGAGGCAGCCCACCGUGUCCAUGUCCCCCCAUGUGGCCGCUUCUCCUGACCCCCUAUAAACUUCCCACGGGGCCGGUUCCUGUCACCAGGGAGAGGGGCCUUGGAUGAGGGUCCUGAGGCCGAGCUCUGAUUUUCCAAGGAGGCCGAGGAUGCAGAUGUCCCACAAACUUCUGCUCUCUCCUCUCCCUGCCUGGCCGAUGUCGCCAUCUGUCCCCAGAAUCCCUGGCCUGAGCCGAGCCCGCCCACUUACAGUCUCACCACGAUCGCUCACUCUUGCCAGCAGGGCCGACCGGGGCCAGGGGCGCCAGGGGCACCAGGAGCACCAGGGGGUCCAGCAGGGCCGGUUUCCCCACCACGCUCACCCUGGGGGGCAAGGGCAGGGACAAUGGGUCAGCACCCGAGGACGGCCCAGGCUGGGGUGGGCACGUGGGGCUGGUAGUGCUGCAGUGCUGGGGUCCAGCCCUCUUACCUUGGGGCCGGAGAGCCGUCUCGUCCGGGGAGAGCCUUCAGCACCGGGGGAGCCCUGCAGAGGGAAGAGCGGCUCACAGAGAGGGGACUCUCAGACAGGCCCUGUGGCCUUGCUGUGGGCAUGCACUCUAGGCCUGGGGUCUGAGGACUGCUCACCUCUCGUCCAGAUUCACCAGGGGGUCCAGCCAGACCAGGGGGGCCCAUGGGGCCGGGGGGACCACCUUCACCGGGGCGCCCAGCGGGGCCAGGCUCACCG
rnacentral:lncRNA from 1 species